GGGAAUGUAGCUUAGUGGUAAAGUGCUUGCCUAGCAUGCAUGAAGCCCUGGGUUCAAUUCCUCAGUACCA
rnacentral:tRNA from 1 species